CAAUUACUCCCUCCGUUCGAAAUUACUUGUCUCGAAAAUUGGUGUAUCUAGAACUAAAAUACGUCUAGACACAUUCAUUUCUGCGACAAGUAAUUCCGAAUGGAGGGAGUACAAG
rfam:Triticum aestivum genome assembly, contig: Triticum_aestivum_CS42_TGACv1_scaffold_499936_6BL